rnacentral:RNase_P_RNA from 3 species
AAAGUGCGCCGGACAGUCGCUGCCUGAAUUUCAGGGAGAGGAAAGUCCGGACUCCAGUGAGCACGGUGCUGGUUAACGACCAGGCGUUAUAAGGUUUUGGCAACAAGACUGAAGGCGACGGAAAGUGCAACAGAAAACACACCGCCGAUGGAAAGGAAACUUUCACAGGCAAGGGCGAACCGGAGGUGUAAGAGACCCCCGCAGACUUGGCGACAAGGCUGGCUAGGUAAACCCCACUUGGAGCAACACCAAAUAGGCGCGCAGGCGCUUUAAGCGUCAACGGCGCUCCCCGAGCGCGCGGGUAGGUGGCUUGAGCUGAAGAGUAAUUUUCAGCCUAGAGGAAUGAUUGUCACUUUGGCCGCAAGGCCAUUGAACAGAAUCCGGCUUACAGGCGCACUUUCCGU